CCAAAUUUGAGAGAUGAUUAAUUAUUGGGCAUAUAAUCAAAUAGUAUAUACUACCAAUUCUUAAUAUUUUACUAUAUAUAAACACGGGCAAGCCAAAUGUUUAGACCUGAUUUUGAAGCAGAGGAAAGGUUUAACAAAGAGAAACAAAGUGUGUUUAAAGUGAAAGUAAUGGGUAAAAGCACAAGGUUUUUUAUUGCUUCUCCAGAAGAAGGAAAUAAACUGUGUCGAUAAUGUACAAUUGUUGGCUUCAGUUCGGAUGAUUCCAUGGGCAAAGGCAAACCUCAAUUAUACUGCUCAGGCACUUAUCAUAUCUGCUGCAUCCGUUGCAUCAUUCUUUGUUGUUGCUGAGAAAACAAUAUUGGCGUGUGCAAGAAAACAGUCCCUGCUUCUAGAAGAGUCUUUGAGACAAGAAAGAUGAUGCACUUGAAUAUCUCAACAGAACAAAGUGCAAUCAGUAGUAGCAGUUCCAAAGUUCUCUCAUACUAAGUGUGAAGAAGAUGAAUAUUGCGGUUCAAGCAGUUUAAUUAGUUUAUAUGAUCGAGUGUCAAAUUGUCUCUCCCCAAGUUGCUUCAAAAAUAAUAAAUCAAAUUUUUUAAAUUUUA